ACUCAAAUGAAUUGACGGGGGCCCGCACAAGCGGUGGAGCAUGUGGUUUAAUACGUCACAAACCGUAGAACCUUACCAAGGCUUGACAUCUGGCGCACCGACAUGAAAGUGUCGUUCUCGCAAGAGACGCCAAGACAGGUGUUGCAUGGCUGUCGUCAGCUCGUGUCGUGAGAUGUUGGGUUAAGUCCCGCAACGAGCGCAACCCUCAUCCCCUGUUGCCAGCGAGUAAAGUCGGGAACUCUGGGGAAACUGCCGGUGCAAGCCGGAGGAAGGUGAGGACGACGUCAAGUCAGCAUGGCCCUUACGCCUUGGGCUACACACAUGCUACAAUGGACGGUAAACAGAGGGAACCGAAGCCGCGAGGUGGGGGCAAUCUCAGAAAUCCGUUCUCAGUUCGGAUUGCAGGCUGCAACUCGCCUGCAUGAAGCCGGAAUCGCUAGUAAACGCAGAUCAGCGAAGCUGCGUUGAAUUCGUUCCCGGGCCUUGUACACACCGCCCGU
rnacentral:rRNA from 1 species